rnacentral:lncRNA from 1 species
AGCUGAGGUGUCUGUGUCAGGCAAUAGCAUAACUAAUGAACAAGGAAGUGACACCAAAACUAAAGAGUCCUCAAAUGAAAACGGUGCUCAAGAUACUAAGCAGAAGGAAAACACCUUAAAAGCUAAUUCUGGGCUUGAACUCUCUGUUGGUUCUGAUAUGUCUAAUUCCACUGGAGAUCAGACUCUUGACCAAUCCAAACUGAGUCAAGACACAGAAAAUUAUAAGUCGGAUAUAAAAGAGGAUAAAAGUAAGCAGCAGAAUGGAGAUAGUAAUGCACUUUUACCUUCCAAUGAAAAUAAAUUGACAUUAGAUGAAAAGGAGGGAACACUUGCAACACCUACCCCAGAGGCUGAGUCAGCGGAGAAAGAAAACACUGAGAAUCAGAAAAGAGAAGAAAAGGUUAUGGACCCCAAUCAAAAUAGUUCAAGUACUCCAACCUUUAGUGUUUCUCAAGCAUUUGAUGCUUUUACCGGUAUAGAUGAUUCAACUCAGGCAGCUGUAAACAGUGUGUUUAAUGUGAU